rnacentral:rRNA from 1 species
GAUGAACGCUGGCGGCGUGCCUAAUACAUGCAAGUCGAACGAAACUUCUUUAUCACCGAGUGCUUGCACUCACCGAUAAAGAGUUGAGUGGCGAACGGGUGAGUAACACGUGGGCAACCUGCCCAAAAGAGGGGGAGAACACUUGGAAACAGGUGCUAAUACCGCAUAACCAUAGUUACCGCAUGGUAACUAUGUAAAAGGUGGCUAUACUACCGCUUUUGGAUGGGCCCGUGGCGCAUUAGCUAGUUGGUAGGGUAAAGGCUUACCAAGGCAAUGAUGCGUAGCCGAAUUGAGAGGGUGAUCGGCCACAUUGGAACUGAGACACGGCCCAAACUCCUACGGGAGGCAGCAGUAGGGAAUCUUCCGCAAUGGGCGAAAGCCUGAUGGAGCAACGCCGCGUGGGUGAAGAAGGUCUUCGGAUCGUAAAACCCUGUUGUUAGGGAAGAAAGUGCGUGAGAGUAACUGUUCACGUUUCGACGGUAUCUAACCAGAAAGCCACGGCUAACUACGUG